GUAAAAGCGGGCCGGGAAGGGAGGAAGCGGCGCUGAGGGGAGAGAGGGGCGGAAUGCGCGGCGCUAAAGGAGCCUGUAGGCCAGGCAAACUCCUCUUAUACAAGUAAUGUCACCUGAGUUAAGUUUACGAAAGGCGAGGAAAAAAUUAAAAGACACAAAAGACAGUGGGAGUGGGACGAGAGGCAAGACGAGCACGCUGAUCAGAACGGGAAGGGAAGGGCGGAAGGGAGUUGUGACAGCAUCGAUCAACAACUGCCACACCAUUUUUCACUUGAUUGUAUAAAUUCAGUUUAUUUCAGCUUUUA